CCUACGGGGGGCAGCAGUGAGGAAUCUUGCGCAAUGGGGGAAACCCUGACGCAGCAACGCCGUGUGAGUGAUGAAGGCUUUCGAGUCGUAAAGCUCUGUCAAGUGGGAAGAACCUGCCUGAUGCUAAUACCAUCAGGCACUGACGGUACCACUGGAGGAAGCACCGGCUAACUCCGUGCCAGCAGCCGCGGUAAGACGGAGGGUGCAAGCGUUAUUCGGAAUUACUGGGCGUAAAGGGCGCGUAGGCGGCACUUUAAGUCAGGCGUGAAAGCCCGGGGCUCAACCCCGGAAGUGCGUUUGAAACUGAAGAGCUUGAGUACGGGGGAGGGAAGUGGAAUUCCUGGUGUAGAGGUGAAAUUCGUAGAUAUCAGGAGGAACACCGGUGGCGAAGGCGACUUCCUGGACCGAUACUGACGCUGAGGCGCGAAAGCGUGGGGAGCAAACAGGAUUAGAUACCCCAGUAGUCC
rnacentral:rRNA from 1 species